rnacentral:pre_miRNA from 1 species
CGAUAAUUACUGUAUUAAUUUGCAAGAUUAUAGUAACUCCUUACUAAGUGGUUUACUGUAACAUUACGGUAAAUAUCUCUAUGUGUUAUAGUAACCCAACUAUCGUAAAUAUGUAUACAUAUUAUCGUAAAUUAGUAUAUAAAUUGUAG